rnacentral:misc_RNA from 1 species
GAGCUAUGUUCAGUCGAUUGUUGAGGAAGUGAGAACAUGUCUUCGACUAGUAGGGAAGGAGUUAGUGUGUUGAAGUGUCAUUUCACGUGCUGAGAAUGUGGAAGGAGGAGAUGGAAGCUGUGUCAUUUUGGAGGGCCUCUUAUAUGGACAAGGGAGUGCCUGAAGGCGGGAGGAAACGUUAGUUUUUACAAAAUUUUCCUUUUCUCUGUAUUAGGGGUUUUUUAUGUUUUAAUUUGG